GACGAACGCUGGCGGCGUGCUUAACACAUGCAAGUCGAACGGAAAGGCCCCUUCGGGGGUACUCGAGUGGCGAACGGGUGAGUAACACGUGGGUGAUCUGCCUUGCACUCUGGGAUAAGCCUGGGAAACUGGGUCUAAUACCGGAUAGGACCAACUUUUGCAUGAUUGUUGGUGGAAAGCUUUUGCGGUGUGAGAUGGGCCCGCGGCCUAUCAGCUUGUUGGUGGGGUAAUGGCCUACCAAGGCGACGACGGGUAGCCGACCUGAGAGGGUGAUCGGCCACACUGGGACUGAGACACGGCCCAGACUCCUACGGGAGGCAGCAGUGGGGAAUAUUGCACAAUGGGCGCAAGCCUGAUGCAGCGACGCCGCGUGAGGGAUGACGGCCUUCGGGUUGUAAACCUCUUUCGGCAGGGACGAAGCGCAAGUGACGGUACCUGCAAAAGAAGCACCGGCCAACUACGUG
rnacentral:rRNA from 1 species